UUUCCCGGUUGAUCCUGCCGGACCUGACUGCUAUCGGAUUGGUACUAAGCCAUGCGAGUCGUUGUAGCAAUACAAGGCGGACGGCUCAGUAACACGUAGUCAACCUAACCUAUGGACGUGGAUAACCUCGGGAAACUGAGAAUAAACCGCGAUAGAUCAUUAUGCCUGGAAUGGCUUAUGGUUUAAACAAUUUAUUGCCGUAGGAUGGGACUGCGGCCUAUCAGCUUGUUGGUGAGGUAAUGGCCCACCAAGGCUAUAACAGGUACGGGCUCUGAGAGGAGAAGCCCGGAGAUGGGUACUGAGACACGGACCCAGGCCCUAUGGGGCGCAGCAGGCGAGAAACCUUAGCAAUGUGCGAAAGCACGACUAGGUUAAUCCGAGUGGUUUCUGCUAAAGAAACCUUUUGUCAGUCGUAAAACCACAGACGAAUAAGGGGUGGGCAAGUCUGGUGUCAGCCGCCGCGGUAAUACCAGCACCUCGAGUGGUCAGGAGGUUUAUUGGGCCUAAAGCAUCCGUAGCCGGCUAUGCAAGUCUCC
rnacentral:rRNA from 1 species